UGAGGAAUAUUGGUCAAUGGGCGGAAGCCUGAACCAGCCAAGCCGCGUGAAGGACGAAUGUGCAGAGCAUUGUAAACUUCUUUUGCCGGGGAACAAAGGCGGGGACGUGUCCCUGUGAGAGUGUACCCGGAGAAAAAGCAUCGGCUAACUCCGUGCCAGCAGCCGCGGUAAUACGGAGGAUGCGAGCGUUAUCCGGAUUUAUUGGGUUUAAAGGGUGCGUAGGCGGGCUGUUAAGUCAGCGGUAAAAGCCCGGGGCUCAACCCCGGCGAGCCGUUGAUACUGGCGGUCUUGAGAGGCCGAGAGGUAUGCGGAAUGCGCGGUGUAGCGGUGAAAUGCAUAGAUAUCGCGCAGAACUCCGAUUGCGAAGGCAGCAUACCGGCGGUUGUCUGACGCUGAGGCACGAAAGCGUGGGUAUCGAACAGG
rnacentral:rRNA from 1 species